UGACAUAAACAAAACAAGGGAUUUGUUUUGUUUUUAGCAGCGCUCCUAACUUACAGAUUUCAGUUGCGCACUAGUAAAGUGUACUUAAAAAUUCUUGUGGUUGUACAAAAAUGUGUAAUUGUUAGUCUUUUGAAACUUGCGAAAACCGGAGUCGUGCGAUGAUUACCAUAUACUUUCAUGCUGCUGACUAGCGCCGGAAUCAAUCAUCUCCGGAUCGAUUUGUGUGAAGCAUUCGGAGUUGCAGCUAUUCACCCGCGGUACCAAAAAAACUACCGAUAUCCGAAUGCAAGCCCGUUGCCGGGACUAGCAGUUCUGUUCGGUAUUUCAGCGUCACAUCGCAGUAAAUCGUAGGAUGUUCAGCUAUGAUUUGAUUACGUUUGUUGUAAUCGGCAGAUUGAGCCACCGAGCAAAAUGCACCAGCAGAAAUAUUACGGAUAAAGAACAGGAUAGUAUUCCCAAAGAAGUGCAGCUUUCCAAGAUGAUACUCUGUGGUGCGCAUCACACAACUCCCCACAGUUGGAGAAAAUCAUGGAGUGAUCAGAACUUUCCCGUUGCGUAAUAGGUAUCUAGCCUGAAACGAGCAAAACCAAAAGUAUAAACAGCUGAUUGUCACUAAACAGUA